GACGUAGGAUGCAAGCGUUGUCCGGAUUUAUUGGGCGUAAAGAGUUCGUAGGCGGUUUGUUAAGUCUGAUGUUAAAGACCGGGGCUCAACCUCGGAAAUGCAUUGGAUACUGGCAGACUGGAGUGCAGUAGAGGCUAGUGGAAUUCCCAGUGUAGCGGUGAAAUGCGUAGAUAUUGGGAAGAACACCGGUGGCGUAGGCGACUAGCUGGGCUGUAACUGACGCUGAGGAACGAAAGCCAGGGGAGCAAAU
rnacentral:rRNA from 2 species